UUACAAAUGCAUCAGCAUGUGGCUUGGGCCUUGUAGUUUUAUAGCAUCUAUCAGCUGAAAGACGUUCUUUGUAAUGAAAUUUUAAUGUUAUUGUGGUAUAUCUUUUACCAGUGUUUCAGGUGCUAAGCAUGUAAGGAUUUUUUUUUUUUUUAUUAUUGCAGGAUAGUAAGUCGAAUUCACGGGGACCAAAGAGGUGCAAGUAUGGAGCUAAGACAAAUAGACUGCAGUCCCAAGGGUCGUUGCAAAUGGAACACUUAGCUUCUUCGGAAGAUCUGAUACAAUGCUCUGGAGAGGAGAGAAGCUUGCAAGGGCGGUAAAGAAGGAAGCAAGAGAACUGCCCAAUCACAAUCAACCGCUAAGAGUACGGCAGCUUCCCAAAGAGCUCAUUCCUCUCACAAUUCUAGAAGAAAUGGUGUACCACAUUUUGGGAAUCAAUCAGUAACAUGUCUUUACCUUUUAUAUUUCUUCUUAAAGACGAAGUCCCAACUAAGCCAAGAUUGCCAUCAAGUCCAUACCAAAGCCUGAAAUCAGUAAUGCCACCACUGAUUCCAACUAAAGAUGAGCAGGAGAAGCAAGAAAGCAUAAGUUGUUAUAUUAUUUAGCAUAAGAAGAAAAAGAAAACAAGGUAAUGAGCUCAUGGCCUGUAAAGUCUGUUGAAGCUCAUGGCCUGGAAGCUCUGAAGUGCAAUAGGCUUGAAAUUUAUGUUUGGGGCUGGCCUGACAAUUUUUAAGUACAUUUUUGGAUGUAUUUUGCUAUGGGAUCGAGUUUCUUAGAUGUACUCCUUUUGCGCAUACAAUAUUAGCAUUGUCAAAUCCAUUUAGGUACAUUUUUGUGGAUUAUAACAAUAUUAGAUAUAUAUUGAUAAAUUAUUAUU